ACAGAGCAUCAGCAAGUCCUUUGUACCUUGCUAAUAUUUCCCCUGCAGUAACAUGAGUGCAAUUAUAGCUUGGAAGGAUGGGAGCUGGAAGGCUGGAGGAGAAAUCUGAAAAGAGGAUUUCAAGAUGCGAAGUCAGGGGGUGUAUGUGGGGCUGCUGAAGAAUUGCCUUUCUUGUGCAUCUGAAGACUGGCUGCUUCUCUGGCACAGGUAACUGUAUUACAUUCAAGUGGAGUUGCAGGGAAGCACCUGGAACCAUAGCCGACCCAUUCAAAGUGGAUUUCCUGUGCAUACUGGGAUCGAAGUAUUUCCCUACUCCUUUUAAAUUUCUCUUCAGAGACACUGAAAGAUUUUGAGGACCAAAGACACCUGCUGCUGAAGGGUUCCGUUUUUUUCCCACUCCAUUUAACAGGAAGAAGACAAAUCCUUGUUUCAGAGCCUGUCUGGGGCUGGGCAUAGCCCUAGCAUCCUCCCUUCUGCUUAUGGUGCUGUGCUCCUGACAGGUCCUUGGCUGCCAUUGACAUGCACUGAGCAUGGGCAACUGACAGUGUUUGUGUAUGUCAAGUGUUGUGAAGGCUUUGUGAUAACAUUUCUGGUGGUUUUGGCUCCUUAUUGGCCGUCUGCAUUUACUCAUGCAUCUCUAAAUGGUUUUACUGUGCAUCACGAGCAGCUGGUCCCUUUCCUUCAGUCUGAUAGGGCUGCUUAUCGGUGUCACUGAGAUUAGAUUGCAGUGUUUGUACAUGGCAAGUGUUUGAAUUAGUUAAAGCCACUCUGCAUACAUCUUUGUUCUUUAGCAGUAUUCCCAAUCAGUGCACGUGUUGUUGCUGGCUUGUUUUUUUUCCCCUCCCUGGACUAUUUGGUCCUGUCUUGUCCAUCCUCAUCCUUGUUGAGAUUGUGCAGCUGUUUUCUUCUCUGCCUCUCGUAUCACUUCCCAUGGUACACUGGUUGUUACUGCCUGUAUUCCUGGUCUGUUUGGCUCACCUGCCCUGCUCUGUUGUUUUGGUAGGAGCCCACGUGCUGACUUAUUGUCUGUGUUCUCAUUUUGGUUUCCCUUGACACAGCAUGCUUUCUGUGGCAUUCUGUGGGCAUUUUUGGAGGUCCAGUUCUGCUCUGCUCCGUGUGCUCGCAUGCAAGCUGGACUUGUGUAACUCCCAAGCUCUCUAAGUAGGCUGCUGUUUCCAGAGUGCUUUCUGGGCUCGGUUGCAAGGUGAAGAGCACUGUCAUCUGUUCCUUGAUUUCUGGAAAAUUGCCAUUUUUCUGGGGAGUUCCAGCCACCCUUCAUUUCAUCUGCAGUUGUCAUGUUUUGGGUUGUGUUUCUGGCAAUGCUCUCUCUCAGCGCUCAUCCUUCCUUCGUGCCGGAAUAUUACUGAAAAGAAAAAACAUUCACCUUUAAUUAGAAAAAUAAAGACCUUAGUAUU
rnacentral:lncRNA from 7 species